CGACUCUCUCCCUCCGGCGCUCACUCUACGCUCGGGCGUUCGCUCCGUCUCUGCUUCGGCACAGCUUUCCUUCGCUGGGUAGCCGAGAUCAGGGGAUCCCAUUUUGACUUCAUUCAGGUUUGAAGGGAUGAUCAGUCCGAGCCAAGGGCAAGCGGCAUUGCUGACAUUCUGCUCCUGCAUUGGCCUUGCUAGCGUUGGCCUUGUUGUUACAAUAACUGUUCCGGGUAACAACUAGUUUUGGAUCAUUGCAUUGAGCUUUCCUUGAAGAGUCUGAGUUCUAGUGUUCCUCAUUUCUGAAGAACGGAAAUCACGCGUGAAUAUUCUGAACCCUUGAUAUGAUAUUUUGCAGUGGUUCUUUUAGAAGAGGGCAUCGAGGAAGGAGCAAAUUAAGGUAAAGAUGUGGUGGAAGACGGGACGCUAUCAGAGAUUGUUGUUCAGGGGGAUGAUCAGCAAGUAGAGCAGAUGAGGAAGGAGCUUCAGCUCAGUGAGAAGGGAAUGGUUUAUGUAAAAGGCAUAUUCGAGAGAUGACCAACACCCACAGCAAUACUUGCUACAGGGCCAUGUUAUUUCUAGGAAGGUUAAUUCUGAUGCUAAGGUGGAUACCAUGCAGACUCUGCCCAACCUAAAUGAAGAUGAGCUGCCCCAAUUUGAACAAGCCUGGAAGAAAAAUGCUAGAAUUUUCCUGGUUGGAGCGAGCAUUUUGAUGGCCAUGUUGGACGGGCCGCAGUCAAGCAUUGCCUUUGUUGGACAAGGAUCGUGAAGAGAGGGAGGGAAAACAAAUGUGAAUUGUGUCUGAGCUAUUAUGGUCCACUGUCAUGAUAAUUUAUGAGUAGGAGCAGAAUGACGGGUGGUCUGGAGCUUACUUGACCAAGAAUUCGCCCUGCAAUCUUUAUGGUUGGUCCAGGCUGAAUGUGUUGUCUGCUGAUGUAUUAAAAUAGGAAGCAAGGGAAUAAGGUUUAUAAGAUAAAAUGUAAUUCAUUGCUUGUC